UCUGUUUGAUCCUGGCGGAGGUUACUAGCCAUCCGGWGUUCAGACUAAGCCAUGCAAGUCAUAUGUUCCUCGUGAACAUGGCAUACUGCUCAGUAACACGUGGAUAACCUGCCCUUGGKUCUGGGAUAACCCCGGGAAMCUGGGGAUAAUACCGGAUAACGCCAUAUGUGCUGGAAUGCUUUAKGCGUAAAACGGAUUCGUUCCGCCCAAGGAUGGKUCUGCGGCCUAUUCAGGUAGUAGUGGGGUGGUAAUGUACCUACUAGSCAACAACGGGUACGGGUUGUGGAGGAGCAAGAAGCCCGGAGAUGGAAUUCUGAGACAUGAAUCCAGGCCCUACGGGGCGCAGCAGGCGCGAAAACUUUACAAUGCGGGAAACCCGUGAUAAGGGAACACCGAGUGCCAGCAUCAUAUGCUGGCUGUCCAGAUGUGUAAAGUACAUCUGUUAGCAAGGGCCGGGCAAGACCGGUGCCAGCCGCCGCGGUAACACCGGCGGCCCGAGUGGUGACCGUUAUUAUUGGGUCUAAAGGGUCCGUAGCCGGUUUGGUCAGUCCUCCGGGAAAUCUGAUAGUUUAACUGUUAGGCUUUCGGGGGAUACUGCCAGGCUUGGAACCGGGAGAGGUAAGAGGUACUACAGGGGUAGGAGUGAAAUCUUGUAAUCCCUGUGAGACCACCUGUGGCGAAGGUGUCUUACCAGAACGGGUUCGACGGUGAGGGACGAAAGCUGGGGGCACGAACCGGAUUAGAUACCCGGGUAGUCCCAGCCGUAAACUAUGCUCGCUAGGUGUCAGGCAUGGCGCGACCGUGUCUGGUGCCGCAGGGAAGCCGUGAAGCGAGCCACCUGGGAAGUACGGCCGCAAGGCUGAAACUUAAAGGAAUUGGCGGGGGAGCACAACAACGGGUGGAGCCUGCGGUUUAAUUUUGGACUCAACGCCGGACAACUCACCGGGGACGACAGCAAAAUGUAGGCCAGGCUGAAGACCUAGCCUGAAUCGCUGAGAGGAGGUGCAUGGCCGUCGCCAGUUCGUACUGUGAAGCAUCCUGUUAAGUCAGGCAACGAGCGAGACCCAA
rnacentral:rRNA from 1 species